UACGUAGGGGGCAAGCGUUGUCCGGAUUUACUGGGCGUAAAGGGCGCGUAGGCGGACAGUUUAGUCAGAGGUAAAAGCCCAGGGCUCAACCUUGGAACUGCCUUUGAUACUGGCUGUCUUGAGUUCGGGAGAGGUGAGUGGAAUGCCGAGUGUAGAGGUGAAAUUCGUAGAUAUUCGGCGGAACACCAGUGGCGAAGGCGACUCACUGGCCCGAUACUGACGCUGAGGCGCGAAAGCGUGGGGAGCAAACAGG
rnacentral:rRNA from 1 species